AUGAACGCUGGCGGCGUGCCUAAUACAUGCCAGUCGAGCGAACAGAUGAGGAGCUUGCUCCUCUGACGUUAGCGGCGGACGGGUGAGUAACACGUGGAUAACCUACCUAUAAGACUGGGAUAACUUCGGGAAACCGGAGCUAAUACCGGAUAAUAUAUUGAACCGCAUGGUUCAAUAGUGAAAGACGGUUUUGCUGUCACUUAUAGAUGGAUCCGCGCCGCAUUAGCUAGUUGGUAAGGUAACGGCUUACCAAGGCAACGAUGCGUAGCCGACCUGAGAGGGUGAUCGGCCACACUGGAACUGAGACACGGUCCAGACUCCUACGGGAGGCAGCAGUAGGGAAUCUUCCGCAAUGGGCGAAAGCCUGACGGAGCAACGCCGCGUGAGUGAUGAAGGUCUUCGGAUUGUAAAACUCUGUUAUUAGGGAAGAACAAAUGUGUAAGUAACUAUGCACGUCUUGACGGUACCUAAUCAGAAAGCCACGGCUAACUACGUG
rnacentral:rRNA from 1 species